GUGCUCGCUUCGGCAACAAGUACACUGAAAUUGGAACAGGACAGACAUGAUCCACACGGCGCCUGCGCAAGGAUGACACGCAAAUACAAAGUCUGAUCACUUUU